rnacentral:lncRNA from 1 species
UGCCACGUGCUUAACACAAAGCCACACAAAAGUGUAAUUUGCCAGCAAUGCUGAACUGUAUGUGCAUUGUUUGAGUCUUACAGCUUAUUUAGUGUUGACUGUUUUCUUUUAGGACCUGAGCUGGGAUGCCUGAGUCUCCUCUCAGUCCCACGGCAACCCGUCAAACUCCAGCCAGCAGCCUGCUCUGUCACACAGACAACGGUGCAGGAGAGAGAGUAGCUAAUGGGGACUCCUGCAGCGGUGUGAGUGGUGAAAACUGGCAGAGUCUCCACCAGAAACAGCUUUUUCUGGCUAUGAUGGCUCCUCAGCACAUGCAUCACCUUCUGUCCCCGAACCAGCUGCAGGCACUGAUCCACCAGAAGCAACAAGCUCUCAUUCUCCAGCAGCAACAUCUGAAAGAGGUUUACAAGAAGCAACAACAGCAGAUUCACCUGCAGCUGCUUCAGCAGCAGCCCAGCAAGAAAGUCAAAGAGGUAAGUAAUUAUUUGUGGCCUGUUUGUUCAUUUAAGUUUG